GCGUUCGUGGUGUAAUGGUAGCACACUCGGCACAUAUUCGAGAGGUCCGAGGUUCGAGUCCCAGGGAGGGCA
rnacentral:tRNA from 1 species